CAGUCGAUGAUGUAUAGUUCGGCUGCCGAUUUUCAUUCAUUAUACGGCAGCGUGUUUUACCCCACGCGCAGUCGGCCAUCUUGAAGAGAAAAAAAUCUUGCUGAAACUUGAAAUAAUAUUGGGAAAGUCCAUACCUUACACAAUGUCUAGAGGAGGCAGGGAUCUGGACUGCAAGAUUUAUGUGGGUGACCUAGCAAGAGACACAAAUGAGAAAGACAUUGAAAGGGCGUUCAGUUACUAUGGUAGGCUGCGCAGCGUGUGGGUGGCCAGAAAUCCGGCAGGGUUUGCCUUUGUGGAGUAUGAGGACCCCCGAGAUGCAGAUGAUGCAGUCCGUGGACUAGACGGAACGAGUAUAAAUGGUGUUCGUGUGAGGGUUGAAAACUCCACAGGAAAAGUUCGUCCCAAGCCAUGGUUGAGAGGUGGUGGUGGUGGCGGUGGUGGAAGGAGUGGAGGAAGACCAGGAGGAGGUAGGCGGCCAUUCCACCCGGAUGACCGCUGUUAUGAGUGUGGGGAAAGUGGUCACUAUGCUUAUGACUGUCCCAGAUACAAGUCCCGUGGCAGGAGGCACUCAAGACCGUCAAAUGACAUCUCAUAUGAUCAGCUUGAAAUGACUACUGUCAGCACUUCAUCACUGUCAGAUAAACAUCCCUGUGACUCGAUCUUCACAUCGUGUAGAUCGCCCCUCACACCAAACCGCACACAGAAUGAUAAUAAGAGAGUCUUGAUCAUCAGAGGCGUCUAAAAUAUAUAAAAUGAUACACAUCCGUUUGAAUUGCCAUCUGCCACGAUAUUGCGUGGCUCGAGUCGCCUCAAGUUUUGGAUUGAUUUGAGUCUCAAUCACUUGAAUCAACUAGGCAUCACUGUUAGAAAAACCUGAUAUAACUUCAACUACAACAUCUUGAGUCAGCCAUUGCUUGCAAUGUUUGUUGAUCCGAGAGACGUAGAUUUCUAUCGUCAACCUAGACACACACACCUCUGCAGUUGAUUUCAUCUUUAGAUCAAUUCUGCAACUACCUUCAGUUCACAUCAAAAGCUGAAGAUCAACCCUUGAUCCAUGUUUGAGACUUCUCAACUCAACUCCACUUGAUCAUGAAUGAAUAUUAAUGAUGACAUAAUGUUCAACUUUGCAUUGCUAUGCAGAGUCACGCAGCCGCUCCCCUCGUCGCCGUAGUUACUCAAGAAGUCGCAGCAGGAGCAGGGACAGGAGGAGAGACAGUCGUGACAGGAGUAGCAGGGACCGUGACAGGAGCAGCAAGGAUCGUUAUGCUGCCAG